UGAUGGAACUCUGAAGAGACUGCUGGAGCAGCACCGAAGGGGAAUAUAAAACUCUCAGGUAAAGGAACAGAGGUUGUGAG
rnacentral:ncRNA from 2 species